rnacentral:rRNA from 1 species
CGCGUAGGAAUAUUGAGAAGGGCUGUCCCUAGUACGAGAGGACCGGGACGGACGAACCUCUGGUGUGCCAGUUGUCCUGCCAAGGGCAUGGCUGGUUGGCUACGUUCGGAAAGGAUAACCGCUGAAAGCAUCUAAGCGGGAAGCCUGCUUCGAGAUGAGUAUUCCCACCCUCUUGAAGGGUUAAGGCUCCCAGUAGACGACUGGGUUGAUAGGCCAGAUGUGGAAGCCCCGUAAGGGGUGGAGCUGACUGGUACUAAUAGGCCGAGGGCUUGUCCUCAGUUG